GAUGGUGCAAUUUAAGAUUUUUUAUAUGUGACCUAAAAAUGUAAAUUAGAUUUGAGUUAGAUGAACUCAGACUAUUUUGAUUAAGUACACACUUGCUACGGCAACUCUGCUACGGACAAACUGUAUUAUUGACGCUUUUUUUUCACUCACCCCUUUCCUAACCUUAACCCCAGUCUCCUAACCUGCUAUGAAAGUCACUUCUAGUAGCUGUAUCGAAGUGGCAUGAAGUGUGUUUCUCGCUUCUCUUCGUCCUGGCAAUUGAAACAGAAGUUUACUCUGUAUUUUUUUAAUGUAACCUUUAUUUAACUAGGCAAGUCGGUUAAGAACAAACCGUUAUUUACAAUGGCUAAGUGGUAUUUUGCAUUGGUUACCCAUUGAAGUUGUAAUAUUUAAUGCAUGCAAUGGAAAGGGCUGUACAUAUCGUCAACAACAUCAGGAUAUCUGACAUUGUUUAAACUCUUGUAGAACAAAUUUAUGAGACGUUAUACGUGCCGUAUCGUCAAUUGGACUAGGAAACCGAAUGUCAAUUGGACAUUCGGUUUCCUAGUUUCCCAGGCCCAGAACAGAAGUUAUUUCGACGACAAACAGCCACCUCAAUCUGCAAAAUGUAAACCUAUCAAUGGCAUGAAGGCUACUCUUGAGAAAAAUUAUAACCGGAUGACCCACAUUGAAAAGUAAAAUGAGGAUCAUGGCGAAACACUAAUACAACAAGACCAGGCUAUUAACUACUUAAUGGGCCAGGUAGAGGAAUUGCAAAAGAAGGGAGAAUUGUUGGAAAACCUUUUGCGUCAUAAUAAUAUAUUCACAUUUUGGGGGUCUCAACCAAUGCAGAAAGAGGGCAGAAAAUGUCUACAUUUGUGGACCAGAUGUUGAGGGAGUUCUUGGAAAUCGAUGCUGCUACACCUUUGGUCAUGGAGACAGCCCACAGACGGGCAAAAAACAUAUGCCGACUAACACCGUACCCAAACCGGCUGGGCGCCUAUGUGUGCAAAUUGAUUUUGUUCCCCCACACCAAACGCGAUCACGACACGCUGGUUGAAAUAUCAAAACAAACUUUGAACCAAUUAUAUUAAUUUGGGGACAGGUCGAAAAGCAUUAAACACUUAUGGCAAUUUAGCUAGCUAGCUAAUUUCUCCUAUAUAGCUAGCUUGCUGUUGCUAGCUAAUUUGUCCUGGGAUAUAACAUUGAGUUGUUAUUUUACAUGAAAUGCACAAGGUCCUUUACUCUGACAAUUAAUCCACACAAAUGGUCAACCGAAUAAUUUCUAGUCAUCUCUCCUCCUUCCAGGCUUUUUCUUCUUUGGACUAUAUGGCAUCUAACUUUCAUUGUUACCACGAUGACGGAUCGAACUCAGUUCAUCUUUCAAUCACCCAUGUGGGUAUAACCAAUGAGGAGAUGGGAGAGGCAGGACUUGCACAACGUUCAGCGUCACAAAUAGAACUGACUUCUAUUUUAGGGCUUGGCAACGCAUACACUUGUUGGUGCAAUAAUUAAAUAACAUGUUUCAAUUUAUUUUGCAGCUCACUCGACGCAAGCAGUAUGGUAAACAUGUAAGUGGCAAAUUGUUGGGCCCAGGAGUGAGAGCGAAGGAAUCAAGGCCCAAGAAGUAACAGUAGCCUAAAUCUACUGCGAAACAUUGUCCAAUCCACAUUGACUACUGAAGCAACCCCUUCUUAAGAACUUGAAACUACCUGGAUUUAUGGUCAUUAUUGGGGCCCAUUUGCACGUGAGCUAGCUAAUUGCUCACAAUGAGGGAAUCUUAUUUGGACAAAUUUACCUACUUGAGCAGUAAGCCUAGGUUUACAUGUACAGUUAUGUACACAGCCUACACAUAGUAUAUACAAUAAUGAAAUCACCUGGUCCAAACAUCCAUGGCAAGUCAAGAAAAGCCAUUGUAACUUGUCCACACUGCAAACGGUAAUUUAAAAACUUCCAAACACAUUUAUGAAGAAAGCAUACACAUUGUUUUGAAACCGUGUCGAAGGAAAGAUUUUUGGUAUGCGAGUGCAUUGAUGUGAGAAAUGGUGUGUUUGCAGUCAAAUACAUUUUCUGGUCGAGCAACACCCAUACAUGUUGUGAAAGAAACUUUGGCUAAUUCAGUUCCAACUGUGUUCAAAACUGUUAUGCAUGCUGAGGUAUAAAAAGCUGUUAAUGUACUUUUUCUUUACUUUCACAUACACUGUGUUCAGAAACAUUGCUCAGAUCUUGUCCCCUGGACCUUGGAGGACUUUGUGUGGAUGAUCAGGGCCUACCAAAGCAAGGUUUCUCAAACAACUGUGGGGUGUUUGUUUUGAUGGAAAACAUGCAGCAAAUUAGGCGACGGUGGUGCCUAGUUUUCCUGCAGAACUUUCCCAUGCCGUCUGAAGAAGAGCGGUUGAAAGAUCGAAAAAGGCGGUGAAAUCAAAAUGCACUACAGGAUGAUGUAGAUGUCCCCCCAAGAAGUCACAACAGCAUCCAACUCUGCAGGACCAGGUACUGUAUAGGCUAUUAGCUAAAGUAAGGUGCAUUCCUGUACACACAUCCCUAGAGGUUCCCUUACAUUACUUAAUGACCACAAUCUGUUUUCUUUCGAGACGAUACUGAAAAUAAAAAGCGCUGUGAACUGGGUAAGUAGUCUGUAUGUAAUACAGAAGGCUUGUAGCAUGGUGAACUGGGAGCUGUGAACUGGGUAAGUAGUCUGUGUGUAAUACUGAAGGCUUGUAGCAUGGUGAACUGGGAGCUGUGAACUGGGUAAGUAGUCUGUGUGUAAUACUGAAGGCUUGUAGCAUGGUGAACUGUGAACUGGGUAAUAAGUCUGUGUGUAAUACUGAAUACUUGAUGCAUGGCAAGAUUUAAUAGUUGCGAUGACUUGUUGAGUAGUUAUAGAUAUCACUGAAAACCCCUUUGGUAAUAAUAGUGGCUUUGUUUGCAUGGUGGUAUUGUGAAAGUGGGGUGUAAUAUGUCUUGAUCACCCAAUGAGGCACUACUCUUAAUAUUUAUUCUUCCUUUUUCUUCAAGGAAGCAGAUGUUCUUCUAAGGGACACUUUAGAGGCAGCAAGGUGGUGCGAACAACAAACAUUUAAAGGCAGUUUCCCUCAGUGUAAUUGGGAUGGACGUGGAAGACCUCAUUAUAACCCUUAAAGAACUACGGUUGUAUGAUGGCCUGGAUGAACAUAUUCUCCAAGGAACCAUUCAUGUUACAGAAAGAUUGAGAUGUUCUAUGUGGAGGCAGUUGACAAGAACAUGACUCUUUUCCUCUUCUGAGGAGCAGGAGUAAAGACAUUUUUGAGUAGUGGCCAAACCUUGUUUUGUCUGCUGUGUAAAUUGUGUUAUGUUGUUUAGUAAAGAUGUAGAAGUCACCCGAGUCUCUGAUCUCUUUACUGGAGCUGGUUAAACUUAGUGUACAAAGCACAUUCAGCUUGUCAGUAUGUCUAUAUGGUAUAGUCUGUCUCCAUUCUCAUGAGGAAAGUAAAUAGCAUUAUAAAUCAGGAUAGGUAGUAACUGUAUAUGCUCAAUGGAAUAUAAUUCCAAGUUAAAAUUGUUGAUAAAUGUUAACAGUACAUGACAUACUUAAGUCUGUUCACAACAUCAUCAGUAGCUUGUCUCAUAGCAUGAAGCAAAACGUGUUAACACAUCUGCUGGUACCACUUUAUAAUACUUCUUACGAUCUUCAAAUAUUAAAUAAGCUUGAAUUCAAUGUGUGACUUGUGCAAACGUGUGCGACUGUCAUAUCAGAUGGACAAAAAGGUGGGAGGGGUCAAACAUUUGACUCAGUCCACAUUGCAGCCAGGGAUACUUGCAUAUUUUGGUGUGAAGUUCUCCAUGUGUUAUUCAACCAGACCCAUGCCAUCUCCUUCUAGGUAUUCUUCCUGUAGAUACACUCCAUUUAAAUUGAUAGAUUAUUUAAGCAGCAGCAAUGAAAUGUGUAACAAAAUGCUGGAAAAAUUAACAUGCACCCUCAAAAGACGUGGUUAGGUCUAUGCGGGGAACUUGCUGACAUGGUGAGAAUUACAUCAAUCACACACCAUCCAGAAGGCAAGGUCAGUACAGGUGCAUCAAAGCUGGGAAAGAGAGAUUGUCUUGAGAAACCUCUUUUUCAAUCACUGUUAAACAGCCAUCACUAACACAGGGGCUGCUGCCUACAUACAUGAC